rnacentral:rRNA from 1 species
UACGGGGGGGCAAGCGUUGUUCGGAAUUACUGGGCGUAAAGGGCUCGUAGGUGGCCAACUAAGUCGGACGUGAAAUCCCUCAGCUUAACUGGGGAACUGCGUCCGAUACUGGAUGGCUCGAGUUUGGGAGAGGGAUGCGGAAUUCCAGGUGUAGCGGUGAAAUGCGUAGAUAUCUGGAGGAACACCGGUGGCGAAGGCGGCAUCCUGGACCAACACUGACACUGAGGAGCGAAAGCCAGGGGAGCAAACGGG